GCCUUCAUGGUGUAGUGGUCAGCAUGCUCAGUGCGAAUUCGAGAGGCCCAUGGUUCGAGUCCACGUGAGGGCA
rnacentral:tRNA from 1 species